GGAUUCAUCCGUUGGUCGGGCUUCACGGUCCGUACUGGUGUGAUGGGUUCCUACCUUCUGAAUAACCUUAAUGCCAUUAAUUUGGUGUUUUGGGGAAUUUGGACUGUUACUUUGAAAAAAUUAGAGUGUUUAAAGCAAGCUAACGCUUGAAUACAUUAGCAUGGAAUAAUGAAAUAGGACGUUCGAUCCUAUUUUGUUGGUUUCUAGGAUUGACGUA
rnacentral:rRNA from 1 species